GGGCACGGGGAGAGCGGCGUGGGGCUGAAGGGCUGCAGCGGCCUCACUGGGAGUGUUUGUGUGCGGGCUCAGGUGUGCGUGAGGGGUGUUAGCGCCCAGAGUGGGCUCAGGUGUGCCUGAGGGGUGUUAGCGCCCAGAGUGGGCUCAGGUGCUGUGGGGGUAGUGGGGCUCACAGCGGGCUCAGGUGUGUGUGUGAGGGGCUUGGGGACCUCGAGUGAUUUCAGCGGGGUGAAGGGCCGAGUGCUGCAGUAACCUCGGGUGUGUCGGGGAUAUGCGGUCUGCAGUGGUCUCAGGUAUGGGGAACGGAUGUUGGGGCCCAUAUCAGGGUCAGGUCUGUGUGGAGGGGUGUGAGGGUCCAUAAUCAGUUCAGAGGUGUUGUGUGUGUGUUUGUGUACGUUGGCAGGGUCUGUAGUGGUCUCAAGUGUGUGUGUGUGUGAGGGUGUUGGGGCCACAACCAGCUCCUGUGUGAGGGGCCAGUAAAAAGGCAGCCCUGAAUCUUCAGUCCUGUGCUGCAGGUGUUGGGGAGCCCUGACAGGGACUGUGUGUGCAUGAAGAGGCCCCUGGUACCCAAACAGGAGCAGCUGUGAUUUAGCAGCAAAGCCCCAAAGGAAAAGGAACUAGCCGGGGUUGAGAGCUCUGGGUUAGGAAUUGCUCAGAGCUGAGGCAGGGUAAGAACCAUCUUCGGAGAGCUGUGUGAAACCACAGGUACAGAAACCUGAGAGCCCUUGAGUCCCAGCUGAGGAGUGUUGGUGUGUCCUGUGCCUCAGAGGCCAAGUGGAAAGAAGAGCACAGUGAGCAUGACUUAUCUGUCAGCAGCUCUGUGAAAAGCUGAUGCUGAGCAAGCAGGAGCAGAGAUCUCUCCCCAAACUGAGCGAGUACAAAGUCCUGAGUGAGUUGUGACGAGAACAGCUCUGAUGGAAGCGUGAGCCAAGAACAACAGCUCGGCAGGGAACUUUACACUUUCCCUGACAGCUCCUUGGGGCGGAGACAGUUAAGUUUCUGCGUUUGUAAGGGAAACAUGGCAUUCCUUAGAGCUGAGCCUCCUCCCUCGGGUUCCCACUGAAUGCCUGAGAGAUGACAGCAGAGGGUGUCUCCAGCAGGCUCCUAUUAAACAGGAGGAAUUAGCACGGAGGGAGCAACAGCAAGAUCCUAGUUUUAACCACAGAAUGAGCCAAAAAGCUUUGCACAGCAGCACUUUGCAGGUUUUUUACCCACUAGCUGCACACAGCUCAUGUUCAGGCGGUUCUGUGCCCUCGUGUUGGUGCCUGCACCUGCCCGAUGUGUGAAGGGCUGUGCUGGGAGGGCAGAUCAGCUCCAAACAGAAAGUGCUGAGGCAGCAGUGAGGCAGGGCAGAUGAUCCUUGGGAGGGCAGCUGUGGUUCAGACACACUUAGAACUGGUUUGGUGUCCCCAGCAGCACAAACCCAGCUGGCAGGGGAGCUGGUGAGCCGAGUACGUGGACAGAUGGAACAGAUACAGACAGGAAAUGGGGGAGAAAGGGGAAAUGUUAGUGUUUGUAAAGCCCCGAGAGGGCUCUGGUUAGUUCCUGAGUCCUACAGUCCCAUUUCUGUUUUCAGCGCAGUGACUGGAUGGCUUUGGCGAGUGGCUCGAGGAGCUCAAGCCGGGCGUGAGUGUGGGGACAGGACAGAGCCGUGGGCACCAGCAGCUCAUGCGAUGUGGCAGCCGCCACCACGCCCUUUCCUGUUCACCCCGGGGCCGCGGGCAGCCGUGCCAGCCGCAUCGCCUGAGUGGGGAGAAGGGAAAUGGAAGGGUUUCCAAAGUGCUGACAACCCACAGCAUUCCUUGGGAAAGGAGAAGUGGUGAGCAGCGCUGGUGGUGUCUCUCCCCUGAGACAAAAACGCUCCCAGAAGUUCUGUGAGCUGCUUGGGGCGGGGGGGGUGUGCUGACUUUUAGCCGUGCCUCAGCCUCGUCCCCUGUUAGAGGCAAUAUUGACUUAAGGAAAGAGGCACGGAGCAUGCUUGGCAUGGGUGUUCCGAGUUAAAAAUUGUCAGUCUGGGCAAACAGACCUUUGGGGCGAUGGGCAGGAAAGCUGAGUGGUUGUGCUGCAUUAUUGCUGCUCCUUUCGGAGCACGGUGUGACCUGGCUCGGCGGGUUUGGAGAAGCGCUGCAGGUUUUGGAGCUCAGUGCUUCAGAUCAAACCCAUUUCCUUCCCCUCGGUGAGGUGUUUGUAGUGCCUCAGUGAGUCAAUAAGCUGUGCAUGUGAGGAAUGCACCUCAGAGCUGAAGGUGAGCGAUUAGUGUGGCUGUGCUGGAGGUGAUGAGAUUAAUUAGUCCUUCCCAGGUGAAUUAGAGCUGCAGAAAUAAGAUACAUGAGAUAUUUAGUCUAAAAUACCACUGUGAAGCAUUUUCAGAUAGGAGUGGGAUCCUGCAUAUGACUCUGACCACAGGAUAUGUAUCUUGAUCCUUAAUUUUGUAGCAGUGCCUGCCUAGUCAGGAGAAUAACCAGUACGUGGCAGAUGUCAGACACGUGUUCUACAAAAGCUGCUCUUCACUGGCACCUGAUUCACCUGGCUGAGAUCACAGUGCUGGCUGUGGCGGGGCUCUGCUGAGAGUAUG